AUUGAACGCUGGCGGCAUGCCUUACACGUGCAAGUCGAACGGCAGCACGGGUGCUUGCACCUGGUGGCGAGUGGCGAACGGGUGAGUAAUACAUCGGAACAUGUCCUGUAGUGGGGGAUAGCCCGGCGAAAGCCGGAUUAAUACCGCAUACGAUCCACGGAUGAAAGCGGGGGACCUUCGGGCCUCGCGCUAUAGGGUUGGCCGAUGGCUGAUUAGCUAGUUGGUGGGGUAAAGGCCUACCAAGGCGACGAUCAGUAGCUGGUCUGAGAGGACGACCAGCCACACUGGGACUGAGACACGGCCCAGACUCCUACGGGAGGCAGCAGUGGGGAAUUUUGGACAAUGGGCGAAAGCCUGAUCCAGCAAUGCCGCGUGUGUGAAGAAGGCCUUCGGGUUGUAAAGCACUUUUGUCCGGAAAGAAAUCCUUGACUCUAAUACAGUCGGGGGAUGACGGUACCGGAAGAAUAAGCACCGGCUAACUACGUG
rnacentral:rRNA from 1 species